rnacentral:lncRNA from 1 species
CAAAGCCUGGGCAGGAAGCACGGGAACCGAGCGCAGGACCGGUCCGGACGCCAAUAUUCUACCCCAGGACCAAUACGCCGCUCGUGGCCGCUCUGUACUGCACCACGGCUACUGCGGCGUCGAGAGCUGGCGCGCGCGCGCGGCCGAGGAGGAUCCCAUGCACACCAUAGACUAGUCACUAGUGGUUGCCGUGCCUAUGUGUGUGCGUGCAUGGGGAAGCCGCGCGGCGCCUCACGUGCACCGUGGAAAACACCAACGACGCUGCCGCCUGCUGCCUGCCUGCCUGUGUGUGUGUACAUGUGGACGAUGCACUGGCCAGUGCUCGCAGCGC